GACAGAGGUGCCGAGCGUUAGGCGGAAUCACUGGGCUUAAAGCGUGUGUAGGCGGGUCCGUAAGUACCUUGUGAAAUCCCACGGCUCAACCGUGGAACUGCUUGGUAUACUGCGGGUCUUGAGCCACUUAGGGGCAAGCGGAACAAUCGGUGGAGCGGUGAAAUGCGUAGAUAUGUAAUAGAACACCAAUUGCGAAGGCAGUUCACUAAGCUUGUAUUGACACUGAGGCACGAAAGCGUGGGGAUCAAACAGG
rnacentral:rRNA from 1 species